rnacentral:misc_RNA from 1 species
UCCGGCUUAACGCCGGCGGUCUCCCUAGAGUGCCCAACUGAAUGGUGGCAACUAAGGACAAGGGUUGCGCUCGUUGCGGGACUUAACCCAACACCUCACGGCACGAGCUGACGACAGCCGUGCAGCACCUGCACAGGCUCCCUUGCGGGUCCCUUGGCUUUCGCCGCGGUACCACCUGCAUGUCAAGUCCGGGUAAGGUUCUUCGCGUUGCAUCGAAUUAAACCACACGCUCCGCUGCUUGUGCGGGCCCCCGUCAAUUCCUUUGAGUUUCAACCUUGCGGCCGUACUCCCCAGGCGGGACGCUUAAUGCGUUAGCUGCGCCACUGAUAAGCAUGCUUACCAACGGCUAGCAUCCAUCGUUUACGGCGUGGACUAC